AAGAAGUCGAUGUAGUUACAGAUUAGAGUUAUGCUUCUCUUUUUCUCACUCACGCAUGCGCAAUAUAUAUGCGCAUUGACACAAAGAGAAUGGUAGCUUGUCCUUGUCAGUCGUUCGUUCGUUCACCGACUGUCACUUGGUCUUGCUGUCUUUCUUUCAUGAAUAAGUGUACAUAUGAUGAGUAUGAAUAGUGAUGAGUGACAAAUGUGCAUAUACAUGUAAUACAUAUGUACAUAUCAUGCAUGGAAACUCUUCCUGUCAUAAAACGGGAAGGCAAUUAAACGUUGGCAGAUGUGCGUUUUAUUUCAAUGAUUAUUUAUCAAACAAUAAAAGUAUCGAUUAAUAACCAAUCCAAAUGUCUAAUGGAUCUAACAGAAGAAAUAUGUAUAGUGAAUUCGAAUAUAUACACGUAUGUAAUGUUUUUAAUUUUGAUACAUAUUAUAUUUAACGACAUUCUAUAAAUGUGUAUUAUAAGUACCGAUCCCUAUUUUAAUUCAUAUUCAUGUAUUGAAGUUUUAAUUCUACGCUACUUUUCAAUUGGUUUAAAGUUUAACGACUGCGUCCAAUUCAUAUAUGUACGACUGUAAGUAUGUAAAUAGUAAAUAGCAUAGUCGUAUUUGCUAAAUCUUAAGAAAACGCGUUAAGUCAAGUGACGAUUGAUUUCUGAUUGUAAUUACGACUAUGAUAUGUACAAUAGUUAUAUUGGUUUCAAGGAACCAAGCAAGAAGUAAGCUUGCAAAGACAGACAGGAAGUGGAAAUAAGCGUAAUUGCGAGAACGUGGGCGAGUGAUUUGUAAUUCGUUGCAAGUAAGAAGACGGAUGUUUAUGUGAUGAUAGAUGAAUGCUGCAAAUUAUAAAAGGACGUCGGAGGGUGGUUGGGGAAUAUAUAAAUUGUUCGUUUGUUCAAUGUACUCUUUGCGACAGCUAAUUUUUUCAACAAUACCAGAGAAUAUUGAAAUCAGUUUCGAAAUUCCUUGAUCGCUUGAACAAUUUACGAAUAAAUAAAUAAAUAUAUAUAUAUAUAUAUUUAUAUAUAUUUAUGUGUACACACACACACACACACGCGCGCGCAAGAUAAUAUUACAUAUAUCGACGAAUGCAACUUGUAAAAAUAGUUGGAAAGACAUGGUAAGAGAUUACAAUCAAACAAGUUGAAGAGUGAAAAGUGAAAAAUAAUUAAAAGAUUAGUUUGUAUUCAAUAAUACACAUGUAUAUGUACAGGGAAUUACAAAAUCUCCUUGCCUCAGGACAUUAUCUCGAUUCUCCAGAUAUUCGAUGCGAUAUAUUGCGAUCUAUUAAAACAUUUUGAUAUUUGUGUAUCAUAUUGUGUAUCAUAUGUAUAUUUAUAUACAUAUAUUUGUUGCCUGAAAUAAACAGAUUCGAAGGUAACUGCAACAGUGUAAUAAAAUGACGAUAAUAAUGUAGCAGUAAUGCAAAUUUACGCAUCUUACGAGAAACAUUCACAAACUAUUUUAGAAUAGAAAAACAGACACCGGUGUAUCGUGACACUGUAAAACUGUAAACUGUAACGAUAUCGCAUAGUCAUAAUGAAUAGUGUCACAUGCUAACGCAUCGUAACAUGCUACUCGUUGCCACGUUAAACGUACUUUAUUAGAUGAUAGAUAUGUUCUGCUAAAAUAACUUCCAUAAACCAUUAUAUAUACAUACAAACUUAAUUUCUGACGCAAAUAGCAAAGUAUCGUAUAUACAUGAGACGAAUUUCUGACGCAAAUAGCAAAGUAUCGUAUACACAUGAGACGAAUGUAUUGAAACAGGUUUAUGUCAGCUGGCAAAGACAUCUCUUCUCUUUCACAUCCAUAUGGUUGUAAAAAUUGUACAACAAGAACACUGCUUUUUCCUUUGAAACAAGGAAGUGAAAAUGAAAUAAAAUGAAUUUGGUUUAUCACUGAAUUUCGUCUUCAUGAUUCUUCUACCUUGUGU